rnacentral:rRNA from 1 species
CGGACGGGUGAGUAACGCGUGAGAAUUUGCCUUUAGGAGGGGGAUAACAACUGGAAACGGUUGCUAAUACCCCAUAUGCUUUCGAGUGAAAUGGAUUUCCGCCUAAAGAGAAGCUUGCGGCUGAUUAGCUUGUUGGUGAGGUAAUGGCUCACCAAGGCGACAAUCAGUAUCUGGUUUGAGAGGAUGAUCAGACACACUGGAACUGAGACACGGUCCAGACUCCUACGGGAGGCAGCAGUGGGAAAUUUUCCGCAAUGGGCGAAAGCCUGACGGAGCAAUACCGCGUGAGGGAUGACGGCCUAUGGGUUGUAAACCUCUUUUUUCAGGGAGGAAUCAAUGACGUGUACCUGAAGAAUAAGCAUCGGCUAACUCCGUGCCGGCAGCCGCGGUAAGACGGAGGAUGCAAGUGUUAUCCGGAAUCACUGGGCGUAAAGCGUCUGUAGGUGGUCCAAUAAGUCAACUGUUAAAUCUUGAGGCUUAACCUCAAAAUCGCAGUCGAAACUGUUAGACUAGAGUAUAGUAGGGGUAAAGGGAAUUUCCAGUGGAGCGGUGAAAUGCGUAGAUAUUGGAAGGAACACCGAUGGCGAACGCACUUUACUGGGCUAUUACUAACACUCAGAGACGAAAGCUAGGGUAGCAAAUGGGAUUAUAUACCCCAGUACUC